AUUGGAGGAAAGCAGGGGAUCGCAAGACCUUGCGCUUUUGGAGCGGCCGAUGCCUGAUUAGCUUGUUGGUGAGGUAAUGGCUCACCAAGGCGACGAUCAGUAGCGGGUCUGAGAGGAUGAUCCGCCACACUGGAACUGAGACACGGCCCAGACUCCUACGGGAGGCAGCAGUGGGGAAUUUUGGACAAUGGGGGAAACCCUGAUCCAGCCAUGCCGCGUGAGUGAAGAAGGCCUUCGGGUUGUAAAGCUCUUUCAGCCGGAACGAAAAGGUUACGGUUAAUACCCGUGACUAAUGACGGUACCGGAAGAAGAAGCACCGGCUAACUACGUGCCAGCAGCCGCGGUAAUACGUAGGGUGCAAGCGUUAAUCGGAAUUACUGGGCGUAAAGCGUGCGCAGGCGGUUUUGUAAGUCAGAUGUGAAAUCCCCGAGCUCAACUUGGGAACUGCGUUUGAAACUACAAGGCUAGAAUCU
rnacentral:rRNA from 1 species